CCCCCUGCACGCUGGAACGGUAGUAUCAGCUGCUGAACCUCUCUUAGAACAUUGAAAGGUUCUGGAAGCAAUGAUCCUCCAUAUGGGAAAUCUAAGCCAAGGAAUCCAGGCAGAACAAAAUGCAAGUUUCACUUCCAAUCCCUCCUCCUCCUUCUUCAGAAACGAUAAGUGCCUACGAACCUCCAUCCUGCGUACCCAGUUACCAAGAGCCCAGGCAGCCUCUAGUCUAUGGAGCCCAGGAGGAAAGUCUUGUUGAUGUCUACCUUCACCCUGAGCCUCUCUCAGACUCCAGCUUUAGCAUAUUCCAGAACCAGUCUAUGUGCUUCC